rnacentral:rRNA from 1 species
GACGAACGCUGGCGGCGUGCCUAAUACAUGCAAGUCGAACGCAGUGGGGACGGGUGAGUAACACGUGGGUAACCUCCCAUCAGAGGGGAUAACACUUGGAAACAGGCGCUUAACCGAUACUGGAUGAUGGACUUGCGGUGGAUUAGCUAGUUGGUGGGGUAACGGCUCACCAAGGCCACGAUGCAUAGCCGGCCUGAGAGGAUGAUCGGCCACACGGGGACUGAGACACGGCCCAGACUCCUACGGGAGGCAGCAGUGGGGAAUAGUCGGCAAUGGACGAAAGUCUGACCGAGCAACGCCGCGUGGGUGAAGAAGGUUUUCGGGUCGUAAAACUCUGUUGUUAGAGAAGCGGUAUCUAAACAGAAAGCCCCGGCUAACUACGUGCCAGCAGCCGCGGUAAUAC